rnacentral:rRNA from 1 species
UACCAUGCAAGUCGAGCGCCCAGCAAUGGGAGCGGCAGACGGGUGAGUAACGCGUGGGGAUCUACCCAUUGGUACGGAAUAACCCAGGGAAACUUGGACUAAUACCGUAUGUGCCCUUCGGGGGAAAGAUUUAUCGCCAAUGGAUGAACCCGCGUCGGAUUAGCUAGUUGGUGAGGUAAAGGCUCACCAAGGCGACGAUCCGUAGCUGGUCUGAGAGGAUGAUCAGCCACACUGGGACUGAGACACGGCCCAGACUCCUACGGGAGGCAGCAGUGGGGAAUAUUGGACAAUGGGCGCAAGCCUGAUCCAGCCAUGCCGCGUGAGUGAUGAAGGCCUUAGGGUUGUAAAGCUCUUUCGCCGGUGAAGAUAAUGACGGUAACCGGAGAAGAAGCCCCGGCUAACUUCGUGCCAGCAGCCGCGGUAAUACGAAGGGGGCUAGCGUUGCUCGGAAUCACUGGGCGUAAAGCGCACGUAGGCGGAUCGUUAAGUCAGGGGUGAAAUCCUGGGGCUCAACCUCAGAACUGCCCUUGAUACUGGCGAUCUCGAGUUCGAGAGAGGUUGGUGGAACUCCGAGUGUAGAGGUGAAAUU